AGCGGCGUACGGGUGAGUAACACGUGGAUUAUCUACCUCUUAGUGGGACAUACCUCUGGGAAACCGGAGACAAUACCGCAUAAGUUCGAGAGAAGAAAGCAGCAAUGCGCUGAGAGAAGAAUCCGCGGCCGAUUAGCUAGAUGGCGGGGUAAUGGCCCACCAUGGCGACGAUCGGUAGCCGGCCUGAGAGGGCACACGGCCACACUGGCACUGAAACACGAGCCAGACUCCUACGGGAGGCAGCAGUGGGGAAUCUUGCACAAUGGAGGAAACUCUGAUGCAGCGACGCCGCGUGGACGACGAAGCCCUUCGGGGUGUAAAGUCCUUUCGACCGGAACGAUAAUGACGGUACCGGUGGAAGAAGCUGCGGCUAACUACGUGCCAGCAGCCGCGGUAAUACGUAGGCAGCAAGCGUUGUUCGGAAUUAUUGGGCGUAAAGAGCUCGUAGGCGGUUUGCCAAGUUUGGUGUGAAAUCUCCCGGCUUAACUGGGAGGGUGCGCCGAAUACUAGCAGGCUAGAGUACGGGAGAGGAAAGCGGAAUUCCUGGUGUAGCGGUGAAAUGCGUAGAUAUCAGGAGGAACACCUGCGGUGUAGACGGCUUUCUGGACCGAAACUGACGCUGAGGAGCGAAAGCGUGGGUAGCAAACAGGAUUAGAUACCCUGGUAGUCCACGCCCUAAACGAUGC
rnacentral:rRNA from 1 species